AGUGGCUCUAAGCAACAAAUUUUGUUUCUUGCUCACAAUACAUGUCUACUAUCAUCAGCUGAGGGCUCUGCUCUAGGUUUUCUUAAUCUGGAACCAUGUGGUCCUGGAUGCCUGGAAACUCUAAUGUUUGAAGAUUUGCUGAUUCCGUUGGUAGGAAGAAGAAGGCCUGCAGAAAUUGUCUGUCUCUUGAGAUACCUCUGGAUGGAUUCUACAAAUAUGUACUGCAUGAAGGUUUUUCACAUCUCACAUUGGCUAAAAAACUAACAUCUUGAAAUCUUGAAGAGGAUUUGCAGAAGGAUGGGAGGAGAACAUAUUGCAGGUUCUUUUUUAUUUGGUUAUUAUCAAACUAUUGAUAAUAUACAAGUCAUGUACACAGUAAUAUACAUAAAAGAUGGUGCUGUGAUAUAAUUACAUCCUUCUUAAAAACAAUUCAACAUAAUAACAUGUUAUAGUUCUGGUUUUUUUUUUUGUUGUUUUUUGAGAUGGAGCUUUGCUCUUGUUGCCCAGGCUGGAGUGCAAUGGCACGACCUUGGCUCACCGCAACCUCCCCCUCCUGGGUUCAAGUGAUUCUCCUGCCUCAGCCUCCCGAAUAGCAGGGAUUAUAGGCAUGCACCACCAUGCCCAGCUAAUUUUUUAUAUUUUCAGUAGAGACAAGGUUUUCCCAUGUUGGUCAGUCUGGUCUCAAACUCCUGACCUCGUGAUCUGCCUGCCCCGGCCUCCCAGAGUGCUGGGAUUACAGGCAUGAGCAACUGUGCCCAGCCUUUACCAUACUAUAUUUCAUUACACAUAAAACACUUGUUCACAUUGUUCUUCUUCUGUACUCACCUUGAUAAUUUUUUACGUCUUUUUCUAGAUUUCUUACAUGGUUCAAUUUAAAGAGAAAUGUAAUAUAUCACCAAAUAGGAGGAUUUUGAUCAACUUUCCUUCUACACAGAUGAGACUGGUUUAUCUUUAAGAAAUUUCUGGGAUGGUAAGUACUCACCAGUACAGGGGAUAAGAUAUCUUUCCAGGUCUAAGGUAAUUUGAUUAGGCUUUUAAUCCUUACCCAGAAGAAAGCUACACCUUUUUUCGCCAGGCUUUCUCCCUUCUUAUUAAUUGCCUAGCUUAAUUUGUACAAUCUUUCCAAAAUUUGGAACCCCCUAUUUUAAUCUCCAGCUUAAAAGUCCUUGACUCCUGUUCUCCAUAAGAUAUUUCCGGAAGUUCUUCUCUACACUAUAGGAUUCUCAUUCCUUCAUUGUGUGGCCCUCAGGGGGCUGCUAUGACA
rnacentral:lncRNA from 13 species